CCUACGGGCGGCUGCAGUGGGGAAUAUUGCACAAUGGGCGCAAGCCUGAUGCAGCCAUGCCGCGUGUGUGAAGAAGGCCUUCGGGUUGUAAAGCACUUUCAGCGGGGAGGAAGGCGGUGAGGUUAAUAACCUCAUCGAUUGACGUUACCCGCAGAAGAAGCACCGGCUAACCCCGUGCCAGCAGCCGCGGUAAUACGGAGGGUGCAAGCGUUAAUCGGAAUUACUGGGCGUAAAGCGCACGCAGGCGGUCUGUCAAGUCGGAUGUGAAAUCCCCGGGCUCAACCUGGGAACUGCAUUCGAAACUGGCAGGCUAGAGUCUUGUAGAGGGGGGUAGAAUUCCAGGUGUAGCGGUGAAAUGCGUAGAGAUCUGGAGGAAUACCGGUGGCGAAGGCGGCCCCCUGGACAAAGACUGACGCUCAGGUGCGAAAGCGUGGGGAGCAAACAGGAUUAGAUACCCGUGUAGUC
rnacentral:rRNA from 1 species